AUUGAACGCUGGCGGAAUGCUUUACACAUGCAAGUCGAACGGUAGAGGGGGCAACCCCUCGAGAGUGGCGAACGGGUGAGUAAUAUAUCGGAACGUGCCCAGUCGUGGGGGAUAACGUAGCGAAAGUUACGCUAAUACCGCAUACGAACUAAGGAUGAAAGCGGGGGAUCGCAAGACCUCGCGCGAUUGGCGCGGCCGAUAUCAGAUUAGGUAGUUGGUGGGGUAAAGGCUCACCAAGCCAACGAUCUAUAGCUGGUCUGAGAGGACGACCAGCCACACUGGAACUGAGACACGGUCCAGACUCCUACGGGAGGCAACAGUGGGGAAUUUUGGACAAUGGACGCAAGUCUGAUCCAGCCAUUCCGCGUGCAGGAUGAAGGCCCUCGGGUUGUAAACUGCUUUUGUACGGAACGAAAAGGUCUCUCUUAAUACGGGGGGCUCAUGACGGUACCGUAAGAAUAAGCACCGGCUAACUACGUGCCAGCAGCCGCCGUAA
rnacentral:rRNA from 1 species